AGAGUUUGAUCCUGGCUCAGAUUGAACGCUGGCGGAAUGCUUUACACAUGCAAGUCGAGCGGCAGCGCGGGGCAACCUGGCGGCGAGCGGCGAACGGGUGAGUAAUGCAUCGGAACAUGUCCAUGUCGUGGGGGAUAGCCCGGCGAAAGCCGGAUUAAUACCGCAUAAGCCCGAGAGGGGAAAGCAGGGGACCGCAAGGCCUUGCGCGAUUGGGUUGGCCGAUGUCCGAUUAGCUUGUUGGUGAGGUAAAGGCUUACCAAGGCGAUGAUCGGUAGCUGGUCUGAGAGGAUGAUCAGCCACACUGGGACUGAGACACGGCCCAGACUCCUACGGGAGGCAGCAGUGGGGAAUUUUGGACAAUGGGGGCAACCCUGAUCCAGCCAUUCCGCGUGAGUGAAGAAGGCCUUCGGGUUAUAAAGCUCUUUUGUCCGGAGCGAAACGGUGGCGGUGAAUAUCCGCCACUACUGACGGUACCGAAGA
rnacentral:rRNA from 1 species